GUUACAUGCUUAUUUAACUUGCUAAUAGUUUAAAAUUUGCUGCAUUGAACUCUGGAUUAUUGAACUGCAAUUUGUGAAUCUGUCCUGCGUUGUGAUUGUUUUGUGAAAUAUUCUUGUGUUCUGCAGUUACAUAAAAGAUUCGAUAUAUUGUUGACCUUGGCUAAAAACAGUCGAAAACCUCUCUCUCUAUCUCAACUCAAUCUAUCUGUAUUUGUCAUUUGUUUCCGUAAUCUAUUUGGCUCCAUCUGACAUCUCGAUUGUAUAUUUGUGCUGAGCAAGUGCUUGAUAAUUUCACGUCGCAUUACAAUUCUCCUGUGUUUGAAGUUGCGUAUUGUGGGCUUGUGGACUUCAGGCUUGCUUAUCUCAGUUAUAAGACGGGAUAAUUUGGAGAGGAUUGUCUGGACCGAACAUAGACAAAUAUUGCUGUAUUGGGAUAGACUAGAGCGUUUAGACUGGGAAAUAUUGGCGCACGGUUCAGCGCCCUUCGUCUUUGUGUAGCAAGCAGGGUGCAUAAGGUCACACCCCGUCAAGCUUCUACAAUAAUUGUAAUUUUGUGGAAUUCGGCAAAAACUUUUUUUUUGUAUAUUAAUUAUAAGCUUAUAGCAGAAA